rnacentral:sRNA from 1 species
UGAUCCCAAUAUCAUCAGCAUUUUUCACACCAGAAAAUAAUUUUCUCCACGUAUGUGGAGG